UAUAUAUUAUGUUACACCAUUCAUUGCAGCGUUUGCAGCAUUUUUUGAAUCGAAUCGUUAGAAAAGUAAACAGAAAUGCUCAUCAAUUUGAAAAAGUCAUUCAGAAGCACUUUCAUUUAUUGUUUUUUAUUCAAAAAAUGAACGAAACUGGACAGAUUCUUUUUCCCAUUUGUUAUGGCUUUUGUAUAUGUUUUACUUGCUUUUCUUUCUUCAUUGCAAUCAUGUUUGAUUUGGAGACAAACAUUAAGAUAUUUUGGGUAAUCUUGUCCAUUAUAUCGUUAUGUAUAGUCUUUUUAAGUGCUUAUGGACUAUCCAGAAUUACUGCAGCAAUUAGUUUAUGGUAAUUACUGUGAUUGCAAUGUUCUUUCUAAUGUUGAGUUUCCUCUUAUCUACAAGUUGAAGAUCUUGAACUUCAUGAAAAGAUUUGCGAGAUUUCCAAUUGGUCUGAAUUUCGAAGGAUUCUUUUUCAUCAAAAAAACAUUCGUUAUAAGGGUAA